CAAGUACUCCCUCUGUCCCAAAUUUCUUGUCUUAGAUUUGUCUAGAUACAGAUGUAUCUAAUACUAAAAUGUGACUUGAUACAUCCGUAUCUAGACAAAUCUAAGACAAGAAUUUUGGGACAGAGGGAGUACUUU
rnacentral:pre_miRNA from 1 species